CCUACGGGAGGCAGCAGUGAGGAAUAUUGGUCAAUGGGCGCAAGCCUGAACCAGCCAAGUAGCGUGCAGGAUGACGGCCCUACGGGUUGUAAACUGCUUUUAUACGGGAAUAAAGUGAGUUACGUGUAGCUCUUUGCAUGUACCGUAUGAAUAAGGAUCGGCUAACUCCGUGCCAGCAGCCGCGGUAAUACGGAGGAUCCGAGCGUUAUCCGGAUUUAUUGGGUUUAAAGGGAGCGUAGGCGGGUGGUUAAGUUAGUUGUGAAAUCUCGAGGCUCAACCCGGGAAUUGCAGCGGCUACUGGCGGGCUUGAGACCAGUUGAGGGAGGCGGAAUGUGUGGUGUAGCGGUGAAAUGCUUAGAUAUCACGAAGAACACCGAUUGCGAAGGCAGCUUACUAAAGUGGUACUGACGUUGAUGCUCGAAAGCGUGGGUAUCAAACAGGAUUAGAUACCCGAGUAGUC
rnacentral:rRNA from 1 species